CGGGGUGUAGCGUAGCAGUAACGCGCUCGGCUUGGGACCGAGAGACCGCAGGUGCGAUUCCUGUCGCCCCGA
rnacentral:tRNA from 1 species